GAGGGUAUAGCUCAGUGGUAGAGCAAAUAGUUAGCAUGCACAAAGUCCUGGGUUCAACUUCCAGCACCUCCA
rnacentral:tRNA from 1 species